AGUGAACGCUGGCGGUAGGCCUAACACAUGCAAGUCGAACGGCAGCACAGUAAGAGCUUGCUCUUACGGGUGGCGAGUGGCGGACGGGUGAGGAAUACAUCGGAAUCUACUUUUUCGUGGGGGAUAACGUAGGGAAACUUACGCUAAUACCGCAUACGACCUACGGGUGAAAGCAGGGGAUCUUCGGACCUUGCGCGAUUGAAUGAGCCGAUGUCGGAUUAGCUAGUUGGCGGGGUAAAGGCCCACCAAGGCGACGAUCCGUAGCUGGUCUGAGAGGAUGAUCAGCCACACUGGAACUGAGACACGGUCCAGACUCCUACGGGAGGCAGCAGUGGGGAAUAUUGGACAAAGGGCUCAAGCCUGAUCCAGCCAUACCGCGUGGGUGAAGAAGGCCUUCGGGUUGUAAAGCCCUUUUGUUGGGAAAGAAAAGCAGCAGGUUAAUACCCCGCUGUUCUGACGGUACCCAAAGAAUAAGCACCGGCUAACUUCGUG
rnacentral:rRNA from 1 species